GAUGAACGCUGGCGGCGUGCCUAAUACAUGCAAGUCGAGCGAACGGACGAGAAGCUUGCUUCUCUGAUGUUAGCGGCGGACGGGUGAGUAACACGUGGAUAACCUACCUAUAAGACUGGGAUAACUUCGGGAAACCGGAGCUAAUACCGGAUAAUAUUUUGAACCGCAUGGUUCAAAAGUGAAAGACGGUCUUGCUGUCACUUAUAGAUGGAUCCGCGCUGCAUUAGCUAGUUGGGAAGGUAACGGCUUACCAAGGCAACGAUGCAUAGCCGACCUGAGAGGCUGAUCGGCCACCCUGGAACUGAGACACGGUCCAGACUCCUACGGGACGCAGCAGUAGGGAAUCUUCCGCAGUGGGCGAGAGCCUGACGGAGCAACGCCGCGUGAGUGAUGGAGGUCUUCGGAUCGUAAAACUCUGUUAUUAGGGAAGAACAUAUGUGUAAGUAACUGUGCACAUCUUGACGGUACCUAAUCAGAAAGCCACGGCUAACUACGUG
rnacentral:rRNA from 1 species